UGGGGAAUAUUGGGCAAUGGAUGAAAGUCUGACCCAGCGACGCCGCGUGAAUGAAGAAGGUCUUCGGAUUGUAAAGUUCUUUUUUACGGGAAGAGUAUAAGACGGUACCGUAAGAAUAAGUCCCGGCUAACUACGUGCCAGCAGCCGCGGUAAUACGUAGGGGACGAGCGUUGUCCGGAAUUACUGGGCGUAAAGGGCAUGUAGGCUGUUUAUCAAGUCAGUAGUAAAAUUGUGGAGCUUAACUCCAUUGAGCUAUUGAGACUGGUGGACUGGAGUGCUGAAGAGGCAAGGGGAAUUCCCGGUGUAGCGGUGAAAUGCGUAGAUAUCGGGAAGAACACCGGUGGCGAAGGCGACUUGCUGGUCAGUAACUGACGCUGAGGUGCGAAAGCCAGGGUAGCAAACG
rnacentral:rRNA from 1 species